rnacentral:rRNA from 1 species
GACGAACGCUGGCGGCGUGCUUAACACAUGCAAGUCGAACGGAAAGGCCCUGCUUGCAGGGUACUCGAGUGGCGAACGGGUGAGUAACACGUGGGUGAUCUGCCCUGCACUUCGGGAUAAGCUUGGGAAACUGGGUCUAAUACCGGAUAGGAACCAUCUUUAGUGUGGUGGUUGGAAAGUUUUUUCGGUGUAGGAUGAGCUCGCGGCCUAUCAGCUUGUUGGUGGGGUAAUGGCCUACCAAGGCGGCGACGGGUAGCCGGCCUGAGAGGGUGUACGGCCACAUUGGGACUGAGAUACGGCCCAGACUCCUACGGGAGGCAGCAGUGGGGAAUAUUGCACAAUGGGCGCAAGCCUGAUGCAGCGACGACGCGUGGGGGAUGAAGGCCUUCGGGUUGUAAACUCCUUUCGCUAGGGACGAAGCUUUUUGUGACGGUACCUAGAGAAGAAGCACCGGCUAACUACGUG